rnacentral:rRNA from 1 species
GUGGGGAAUUUUGGACAAUGGGCGCAAGCCUGAUCCAGCAAUGCCGCGUGCAGGAAGAAGGCCUUCGGGUUGUAAACUGCUUUUGUACGGAACGAAACGGCUCUGGUUAAUACCCGGGGCUAAUGACGGUACCGUAAGAAUAAGCACCGGCUAACUACGUGCCAGCAGCCGCGGUAAUACGUAGGGUGCAAGCGUUAAUCGGAAUUACUGGGCGUAAAGCGUGCGCAGGCGGUUUUGUAAGACAGGCGUGAAAUCCCCGGGCUCAACCUGGGAAUGGCGCUUGUGACUGCAAAGCUGGAGUGCGGCAGAGGGGGAUGGAAUUCCGCGUGUAGCAGUGAAAUGCGUAGAUAUGCGGAGGAACACCGAUGGCGAAGGCAAUCCCCUGGGCCUGCACUGACGCUCAUGCACGAAAGCGUGGGGAGCAAACAGGAUUAGAAACCCUUGUAGUCC